rnacentral:rRNA from 1 species
GAUGAACGCUGGCGGCGUGCCUAAUACAUGCAAGUAGAACGCUGAAGGAGGAGCUUGCUCUUCUGGAUGAGUUGCGAACGGGUGAGUAACGCGUAGGUAACCUGCCUGGUAGCGGGGGAUAACUAUUGGAAACGAUAGCUAAUACCGCAUGACAACAGUUAUUGCAUGAUAACUGUUUAAAAGGGGCAACUGCUCCACUACCAGAUGGACCUGCGUUGUAUUAGGUAGUUGGUGAGGUAACGGCGCACCAAGGCGACGAUACAUAGCCGACCUGAGAGGGGGAUCGGCCAGCCUGGGAGGGAGACACGCCCCAGACGGCCACAGGAGGCAGCAGGAGGGAAUCGUCGGCAAGGGACGGAAGACAGACCGAGCAACGCCGAGUGAGUGAAGAAGGUUGUCGGGUCGUAAAGCUCGGUUGUAAGGGAAGAACGAGUGUGAGAGUGGAAAGUUCACACUGUGACGGUAUCUGACCAGAAAGGGACGGCUAACUACGUG